UUAUCAAAUUGACCAUUCAAACAAUGAAAUUUCUUAACGAAAUUUUCACACAAUCAUUUAAUCAUACUGUAAACAUUAAAAUAAUAAUAAAAUAAUUAUUUUGACUUCAGAUUUGUUGUCCCAAAACCACUGUUCUGAUUUGACUAAAAAUGAGAUGUUGCAAUAAUUAAGUUUACUUAUAAAGGAAAAAUAAAAGAAAGAUGAGAGAAGUGAUACAUUUCGUCAUCUUCUUCAAAGGGAAAAAGAAAAGAAAAGAAAAUUGCAUAUUCUU
rnacentral:lncRNA from 1 species